rnacentral:pre_miRNA from 1 species
UCCCUCCGUCCCUCCGUCCCAAAAUUCUUGUCUUAGAUUUGUCUAGAUACGGAUGUAUCAAGUCACAUUUUAGUAUUAGAUACAUCCGUAUCUAGACAAAUCUAAGACAAGAAAUUUGGGACAGAGGGAGUAGUUG